AGAGAGAGAGAGAGAGAGAGAGAGAGAGAGAGAGGGAGAAGAAGAAGAAGAAGAAGAAGAAGGGGAAAGAAUUGGAGAAAUUAAUUGAAGGAUCGGGGGACGAGUCUCCACCUCAAAGUUGAGAAGGGGGGCCUUUCGCUUUUGUCUUUUGGAUCUCUAAGGUAACUGAAGUAGAGUUUUGGUCCACUACUGGUCUGACAGGUUGUAGGAGUGGAGGUGAGGGGCGACUUGGUGUCCUUCUG